rnacentral:lncRNA from 1 species
UAAUUUACACAUACUUGCUAUUUUUAUGGAAAAGUAAUUAUAAUUUGUGAAACAUAAUUUAAACAUGAAUUAGUAAUAAUUAGCCUUAUUAGUGUGAAAACGCAAAGUUCAAAAUGAUAUAUAUCGCAGAGGUACUCGACUUGAUGCGUGAAGUUAGCGCUAAGCGCGCCAGAAAUGAUCAUCUCUGGCUCGAGCCAACUUAAUACAGUUCUCUGUUAUAGGGGUUCACAUGCCUUCCGGAACGGAACGGGACGCUGGGUUCACUUUCUUUCCGGAACGGAACGGGGCACGGGACAGAUCAGCUCCCGAUCGAGUGGCAUCGCAAUUUGUCUAAUUGAAUCCGUAACAAUCCUGAGAUGCAUUGGCCCUGGGAGCGGACAUCGUUGCGACGUUCGAUUGAAGGCAACGAAUGUGGAACGACCGCCGCUGCUUGAACAAGUGAUAUCGCAAAGUAUUUAAUCGAACGCGACGGGUGUGGAACGACCCGGCGUUAUAGAACGGCAUCACAAAUCAUAACUGUAUCAUCGUUGCUAACUAACGAUCCGCAAGAGUCAACGAUGGAUCAUAAGCCAAUCUUAUCGCCGAUUUAAAUGAAACUAAACGAAUCGCAGCCGGUUCGUCGCGUCGCGCGUUUGUUUCGGGAGUGCCGUUAAAACAAUAGGACUAAAAAGACUUUUCACACAACUCCCAUUCGAAUGAGCUCUUGGUUCGAGAAACCGCUCUUUUCGGGUUGCACUUUGAAAUAUUGACAGUAUUGGACGCUCAUCGAGAUGCUCGGCGACCGAUGACGCACCUAAAAAAGCUGGUAAUGGGACGCAGAGGACGCGCUGUCACGAUUGUCGAGUUAUUUGAGAUACGUUCUAUAAUUGGCAAACGAUUGACGGCAGUAAGAAUUCUUGAUUACGAUCUUAAUACGAUUGUAAUUUUGUUUCUUCUCCGCGGUGCUUGAUGUUUGCUCGUGUUAGUUACCGUGUGUUCUGUACUGGUCUGAUCAAGGUGUUUUGAUUCCAUUGGGCAUUGGAAAUCAUCAUGGGGUUAUAAACGUGGAGUGACGCAUUAGUAUGUCGCGCGAAAGACUUUUAACAAUUAAUUAGUCCUCGCGCGAUUGUAACAUAUAUAAUCGCGAGUGCUUUUCGCGAGUGUCUCGUGACAACGAAAGGAAGGAUUGCGUGACAGCCUGUUCUGAGAGGAGGAGGAGGUCCAGGAAGGACAUCGGGCAUCAGCGGAGCAACCUCGGGUAUCAUCGCAGCUUCGUGGCCAAAUAACUCCGCUCGUUGCGCAUUGGAUCGGUGAGUGACGAUUUUUUUUAUAGGACAACGAAUCUAUGAAAUUUAAAUUAAAUAUCUUUUUAUAUAUUAUGUAUUAUAAAUACGGAUAAAUGCGACUUUCAUAGAUUCGUUGUUCCAAAUGUUUUCUUUUUCAUUUUUUUGUAAUGAUAUUUGAUCGUAGUGUUCGUGUUACCUGGUAAAUUUUUUUUGUCAUUUUUAUUAAGACAUGUAUGUACAAAUGUAUAUACAUAUUUCAUUUGCCACUACUUAAAUUAUCUGACUGUUAUGCAGUCGGAAUAUAUAUGGCCAGGAUCAACGAAAGGUGAGUUCAAUCUGGCCGAAAGAAGGAAGAAAUUUAUUAAAAGUUGGGUGUCAAAAAUACCGUAAAUAUAUUAAAUGGUUUUUCGCAUUUUUUUGUAAUGAUUGAAUAAAUUUAGGGUUGUAGGGCUCGCGAAUGUCUUAUGUACCGCCUAUUUCAGGCUUUUUUUCUUAGGUCAUGUUAUAGGAAAGAGGAGGUACCUAUUUAUGUGCCUUUGUAUUUAAAGGAGUUACAAAAAAAAAAUUAACACAAUUAAAUAUAUAGAAAGAAUAAAUUUAAAAAAUUUAGUUUAAAUAUUUAUGUAUAUAUUUGUGUAUAUAAUACAAAAGAAAAUGUUCUAUUUUUAAUUAUGCAAAUGCUUUUAUAACUUCUUUAAAUAUAAAGGCACACUAAUAAGUACAGACACACUAAUAGGUACACUUAAUUACCUUAUAUCACUUCAUUUGCUUCUAUGUAAUACGGACACACACCAAAAAAA